rnacentral:rRNA from 1 species
UACGAGGGGGGCGAGCGUUGUUCGGAAUUAUUGGGCGUAAAGGGCGCGUAGGCGGUGCGGUAAGUCACCUGUGAAACCUCUAGGCUUAACCUAGAGCCUGCAGGCGAAACUGCCGUGCUGGAGUGUGGGAGAGGUGCGUGGAAUUCCCGGUGUAGCGGUGAAAUGCGUAGAUAUUGGGAGGAACACCAGUGGCGAAGGCGGCUCACUGGACCGGUACUGACGCUGAUGCGCGAAAGCCAGGGGAGCAAACGGG